GGGCCUCUUCUUGUUGGUUCUCUUUCACAAACUCUUCCAGAGGAUACUUCAGCCGUGGGAAUGGUGCAAUGGGCCAGUCGAAGGAAGGGAUGUCGAUCUUGUGAAUAGCUUUGGAGUGCGUGGUCGCUAAGCAACCUAAGCCCAGCACAACAGAAGAGCAGAGGUUGGCUCAGGGAAGGAGGAUGGACGGUCUCUGAGGAGGAGAUGGGGCAGCCCAGGGAGGCCCGGUGCCUGCAGAACCCCAGUUCUGGGAACAUCCUGAAGCUGAGGUGGCCCCCAUGUGUCUUAAUCUGUAUAUGUAUGUAUGUGUGUGUGUGAGUGUGUGUGUGUGUGUCUUUGCUUUCUGAUCUAUCACAGACUAACACAGACUUUGAAGGAAGAGAGACGAGGAUUGAAAUCCUAGCUCUGCCCCUGCAUGGGCUUGGAAUGUUCCUUCCCUUGCCCAGCCUCAGUUUCCACAUCUGCAAAGUGGCAACAGCCAUCCCCAGUCUCCAGGGAACGGUAUGCAAUCAAUGAGACAAUACGUGGAAGCCGCCAGCGUCAGAUCAGAGGCAGCCGUCACUAUUGUUGUUAUUAUUACUCUACCUGCCACCUUGGGAUCUCACGGCCUUCCUUACCCAUGGUCCUCCCAUGGAAGGCACCCAUGAAGGAGAGGAUGCUGUAGUCGGGGCACCCGGGGGCCUGGAACCAAGAAACAGCCGUCAGUCAGGGUUGUGAGCUGGGGACCCACAUGGUGGCCCCCACGAACCUCAAGGAGUACGAAAGUCUCAGGAGAACCGGGAUCCCCUCUCAGGCAGAAGUUACAAACUGGACUCCAGAGAUUGAAGGUUUGUGGCAACCCUGCAUGGAACAAGCCUUCUGGAGCCAUUUUCCAACGGCAUUUGCUCACUUCGUGUCUCUGUGUCACAUUUUGGGAAGUGUCUGGCUGCACACAAGGAUGCACAUCUUGGAAGGAGUGGCUGAAGUCUGGAGAGCCACAGCUACACAGAGACAGAGGCUACAUUCAGGGACUGAUUUUCCAGCUCUUACCUAUGGGGACAGAGGAGAUCUGGGAAUAAAGAUCCAACAUCCGGUUGCCAUCCACGUCCACCAGAGCUCAGGGUUACUGGUCAAGACUGAGUCCAACUAGACCUGCAUGCAACAGGGAUGCCUAUUUGGAUAAAAAGAGCUCUUAACCAGUGCUGGUCUUGCUUUGUCUCCAGCAAAGGGG